CUCCGUCCUCACCAAUGACGAAACAGUCUACGUUUGAAAAUAAAGAAACAGCGAGACAACUUUCAGAAAUGGAGGACGAAGAUCACAGCUACCAGACCCAAAGUGCUAAGCAGCAGUACCAAUCCAAGGGCCAGAACGUGUGACAGACCACUGUUCUGGUACUCCAAAUGAUUCCACAAACCGACACAACACUCAAACCAACCAGAGUGCCCCAAAC
rnacentral:lncRNA from 1 species